GCUUUUUUUCCAGUCGGGAGCGCAAGCACAAGCAGGGCAGUGGGUUAAAGUUUGGGGUGAGAGAGGGGGGCGAGGUGAGGGGUGGAGUAGGCUACCGGUGGCGGCGGCAGCUGGGCCCUCUUAGCUGCGGCCGGUGGCGGCGCUGCGGCGCGCGGCCGGGGCGAGCCGGCCUAGGGCGCGCGGCGCAGGGGCAUUGGGGCGCGCUCGAUCCCAAAUGCGGCAAGGCGCUGGGGGGAGGGGGAGGAGCUCUCCUUCUCCCCCGCGACGGCUUGAGCAGCCUCCCCCUUUAAGUCCGCGGACUCACCUUUAGAGAACGGCCUAGAGUUCGACCAGGUCUUUGGCUCCCGCACUCCUGUGGACAUUCAAGCCAAUUCUCGUGGGUACUUCGAAACCCCGUUCUUCGUAAGUGACUACUUGUCGUACUCGUCAACCUACGUGUCUAUGAUCAGUUACGUCUAGAAACGGUCCCUUUUGGUUGUCGUUUCCGGCGGUAUGCGGGACGUGCGCUGAGAGGAGGAGAUCUCCCUCGUGACGGUUUAAGUGGUCUCCUCCAAGUCUGGGGACUCACGUUUGGAAUACGGUCUAGAGUUCGAGAAGGUCUUUGACACGUACACUCCUGUGGACAUUCAACCCAAUUCUCGUGGGCACUUCGAAACUGCGUAUUUCGUAAGCGGAUACUUGACGUACGUGUCAACCUACGUGUCUAUGACCAGUUAGGUCUAGAAUCGGUCCCUUUUGGUGGUCGUUUCAGGCGGGAUGCGGGGUACGCGUUGGGAGGAGAUCUUGCUCGUGACUGUCUAAGUAGUCUGCUCUAAGUCUGAGGACUUACCUUUGGAAUACGGCCUAGAGUUCGACAAGGUCUAUGGCUCCCACACUCCUGUGGACCUUCAAGCGAAUUCUUGUGGACACUUCGAAACCGCGUACUUCGUAAGUGGCUACUUGUCGUACGCGUCAACAUACGUGUAUAUAAUUAUUGACGUCUAGAAUUUGUCCCUUUUGGUGGUAGUUUCCGACGGUACCAAGACCGGAAACCUGUUGGACACCUCCCAGUCUUUGUACGUACCCUCCUCCAAACCGCACGACGACAACUGUCUAUGGUCUUGGUUUACAGUGGUGACCCGAAACUCUGCGGAAAAUCAAGGGUCUUACCGGGCAAUCUUGGUAGAGGAUUGUCGUACUCCUUAGAACUCCUCCAACUCGACUUCCUCCGCGUAAGUCUCGAGCAACUACGUGUCUGAUCGUUUACCGUCUUGGUCUUCAGUGGUCACUGACCGAAACUCUGUGGGUAGUUCAGACACUAUCCGUUAACGUGUCGAGUUCCAAACCUACAAGUCUUACCACCUCUAUAAGUCGUUAGUCAGUCAACACGACUGUUUCAACUAGUUCUCGGUGGACUACUGUCUUUCUAUUACCUAUGUUAGAUACCACCCGAUCUCAGAGCAACGCCGUCGUGAGGGAGCCUUUCAAGUCUUUCGAACUGCCUUGACCUGAGUACACACUUUACGCCAUUUCUACCCGUCGACGACUUUACAAGGUCAACGAAGAAUCGGCGGGUACGAUCCACAAAACCAAGUAGUCACUGUAAGCUACUGAGACCGGUAAAACUAACGGGACAAACGAUAACGGCUUUUCGACGAUUUCGUGACCUUUUCCGAUUCUUUUGUAUAAGACUUCGAUCCUUUUUAAAUAGACAAAAGACGUCGCCGACCUUCGUUAAAAGAUUCCUUGUGUCACUCGACUACUUACCGAAAGUGUGUCGAUUUUUCGUUCCAGUCAGACUUCGUCGACUCGAGACAGCGUUCCUACCUCUCGGAUCAGUAGACUUUCUUUUACCAUGUUCACUACGAACAGGACUCUUCCAUCAGUGGUGUUUCUGUUGGUGAAAAAGCUCAAGACUUUUACGUUUUAGGGUACCUCUGUCGUUAUCGUUAAACAGAGCACUUCACGGUAUAAGUCGAGCCCUAUCUAAGUCAAGACAACGUUUAGCGUUGUAACCCCAACCGUUUCUCUUAACAGAAUACUUAAGAGGGUUAACGUUAAAAAGACUAUCUGAUCCUCGAUAUAGAAGCGCUUUGUAUUCGGCGGCGUUUCAUUCGAAAGUUCUUUACCCCUGUCACCGUGGUUUAUCAUGAACCUUUUGUAACUCCAUGGUCCUAGUCAAGCACGUAAGUGGUCGUUCCUUUUCUAUAAUAGGUAUGGGUGGGCUCGUAAUGAUGUCAGGGGUGUGUGGUCGAUACUCCUCAGGGGACCGCGGUUCAUUUUGCGGAAAGUGUAGCUGUUGGCGCUCCGCGUUCUACUAGAAGACCUGGCUCCGUCUCCUCCACCGAGACUCCCUCCGUCACCGCUUCAAACGGGGCUUACCCCUCCGGCGCUUCCUCUUCUCCAGGUAGAGCACCCACGCGUAUGUGCUCAUGACGUCCCUCAGCUAGGUGGGGUGCGCGACGGGCCUGCUGGACGCCUUCUUCACCUUGGCGUACUUCUUGUUCGACCCACGCACAGGACUUCUGCCAUCACAUCCUCCUCUGCCGACGAAGACUUUGUGGGGAGGAGUAGAACGACAACAUCCACCUCCCCUUCUCUUCACCGGCGCAGGAGUCGCGAGAUGGCCGCUUUGCAGAGACGGGAUCUCCGGACAAAGCGGGAGACAACAUAUACACCGCGCCGCCGCUAGCAGACAGAUAUAAAUACCCCUCAGAUCACUGAGGAGGCUAUAUACUUGGUUGUUACAUACGUAUACCACCGACCCCUCUCUCCAAAGUCACUCUACCUAUACGUUCCUACUACUACUACUACCGUCGACCAUCCCUCCCCUCGACGUGUCGGUGGUACACAAAUACUUUACAUACUACCUUCUGAACAUCAGAGUCGAUUAAUUAGAACAUGAUCCUACCUAAAGGUACGGACGGACUGAGUGUUUUUUACAACAAAGGUCGCCGACACUACACGACACGACCCUGACAAUAUAAACUACAGAUUAUAAUUACCUGUUAAACAACAAGAAGAGG
rnacentral:rRNA from 1 species